rnacentral:rRNA from 1 species
GAUGAACGCUGGCGGCAUGCCUAAUACAUGCAAGUCGGACGGAGGGAGGAUAGCUUGCUAUCGGACCUCAGUGGCGAACGGGUGAGUAACACGUAGACAACCUGCCCCCUGGCCCGGGACAACCUCUGGAAACGGAGGCUGAUACCGGACGGGCAGGAGAGGGGCAUCCCUCUCCUGUGAAAGGCCCUGCAAGGGGCCGCGAGGGGAUGGGUCUGCGGUGCAUUAGCUAGUUGGCGGGGCAGCGGCCCACCAAGGCGACGAUGCAUAGCCGGCCUGAGAGGGCGGACGGCCACAUUGGGACUGAGACACGGCCCAG